rnacentral:rRNA from 1 species
GGAUGCGAUCACACCAGCACUAACGUACCGGAUCCCAUCAGAACUUCAAAGUGAAGCGUGCUUGGGCUAGAGUUGCACUAGGAUGGGCGACCCCUGGGAAGUCCUCAUGUUGCAUCCC